rnacentral:rRNA from 1 species
UACGUAGGGGGCGAGCGUUGUCCGGAAUCAUUGGGCGUAAAGAGCUCGUAGGCGGCUCGGUAAGUCGGGUGUGAAACCCCCAGGCUCAACCUGGGGACGCCACCCGAUACUGCUGUGGCUAGAGUCCAGUAGGGGAGUGUGGAAUUCCAGGUGUAGCGGUGAAAUGCGUAGAUAUCUGGAGGAACACCGGUGGCGAAGGCGGCAUCCUGGACCGAGAUUGACGCUGAGGCGCGAAAGCCAGGGGAGCAAACGGG